UGAUAAAUAUAGAUUUCUAUAUAGUAUGUGUUCAAAUUUUCUAAUUGUAUAAAUAUUCUUACAUUAUUUUGCUGAAGAUUGCAAUGUAUUUCUGUAAAUGUGUAUGUGCGAAUAAAGUUAUGAUUUGUUAAAUCAAUAUGUAGAUUUGUAGGAAAUAGUGAAAACACAUUAAUCUUUUCUAACAACUCCAUUAUAUUUCGUGAGUUUGACUUUGCCUUCUGGUUUGCUAUGCUCAUUCAGUGCAUUUCUGGACUUAUUUUCAGAAACUUUGCGCUUUAUAUGAUCACGAGUCAUUUCAAUUUGAGUCUGCAUGUUUCUUUGCUCUAAUUAUAUUUACCCAAUGAUGGAAAAUUCACUGUAUUGAGCUGGUUGGCAUUUGCUGCCGGCCUUUUGUGCACCAUCAGUCCAGGAUCCAAAGUAGAAUUUAUCUUUGUUUUGCAAUUAUGAAAUGUCCAAUUUGGGAAUUGAUCUGGUAUUAUUUAUCAGCCUUUUGUCUAUCUAUCUAUGAAUGGUUGUGCUGAAAGUGCUCCAGGGAUGUUAGUAGCUUUAAGCUGCUCGUGGAUAAACUAAGGGCUUAAAUCAACAUUCUUGCCAACUCUAGCCAAUGUAUGUUCUGCAAACUUUGAUAUUAGUUGCAUUUCUUGUAUAAGGUUGAGAUGCAUUUGUCGAUUUUGAGACAUGGUGUUUUUCCCAGCUGCGUCUGGCCCUUUUUUCUCCAAGAUCAGUUCUCAUGUGUUUAUUUAUUUUAGUUUGUUUGUCUGUCUGUCUGAUUUAAGGUGCUUUCUAAUGGUUUGGAAUGUUGUUUAAAACUUUAUACUUAUCUUUUGGGUUUCUUCAGAACCUGGCUUGUCGAACUUCCAACAAAUUAUGUUUCUUAAUAGCAUGUCAAAAUGCCCUAUGAUGGAACAUGCAUUGGUUAGUUUUGUGCCUUUGGUUUUCACUGUAAGCCUCCCUCAUCAUCAAGACAGCCCUCGCCACUGUCAUCAUUCUUCUACUCGUCGGUGUAUUGUUGUUGUUAUUAUUAUUAUUAUUAUUUUCACCAUCAUCCAGCUCUGAGGGAUUGGCUUUGAUGAAAAUCAUUGGAUAUAAAGCACAAUAAUCAAUGAUAAGCUAUGAGAUCUGAGGGCCUUUUAAAUCUUGCAGUAUGUCUCCAAGCCUCUUAAAGUUCAUUAUUAUUAUUUUUUCUUUUUUGAGUUUUCUUCUCUUGUUUUUUCCAUAUGCUAUUUUCUGUUGUGAGGUGUGCAGUAUGGCCGUAUGGAAGUUGGAAAAAUGUCUUAGCAACGGGAGUGCUUCUAGUCUAGCAAAGAUGCUCUAUUUCCCUGUAUUGACUUCAGAUUAUGUUGGUCUGACUAACGAGUAAUCAUUUGAAAACAAAUCACCGAGUCUCAACCUGAGCGUAAAAUCUAAGUUUAAAAUUCAGUACUGUGUCUGUUUGUAUUCAUUUUCGAUGAUGUAGACAUCUUUAAGGUUAUAUCUGCUUCAAAAAUUUGGUUGAGCUAAAUUUUUUAGUUACAUCUUUCCACAAAACUUUGUUGGAGUUGCUAACGAGUUCUUUAUUCUUGGCUGUUGAUGUAGACAUGUUACAGAUUGUGGUGUUGUACCCUUUGCUGAUUUUUAUGCCAACUUAGUGAUGUGGAAGUUCUGUGUUAGCCAUCACAAGAGAUUCUCAUGUAUUUGUCAUUAAAUCUUCCCCAUUUAGGAUUUUUUUUUUCAAAAUUGUUGAUGUAAUAUAUUCUGAGUCUUUUAUAAUGAUUAAUUUUGCAUUUUGCUCUGAUCAACUCAAUUCAAUCGCAUGUUGUUGUCCAACUCAGCAUGUCUGUGUUUCACAGCUAAAAGAUCAUGAGGUGUCCAGUAAAAUAUUGGUCUCGUCUAAAAGAGGACUAUAUUUGAUUUCAUAGAAUGCUUGAUAUGCACUUGUUUUGCAGGUACUCUGUGGGAGGUGAUUCUUUAAGGAGAUUCAAAUUUCAAAUUUGCCCGAAUAUUAUAAGGGUUUAUCAUCCGCCGUUACUUUCUUUGCUCAAGCCUGGUGCAUUGCCCAAAGAGGUCCACUUUUUCUGUCAUGUUCAAUCCUCUACAUGAAGAGAUGUACACUGGAAAGUACUACCGCAAUAGUACAAUGUAUCUUGUCAUAACUCUUGUACAUUGUAUUGGAUGUGAUGCAAUAGAAUAAUGAACAGAAAUUUAGAUUUUUUUUUCUUUCUUAGUGCUACAGGGUACUAUUAAUUCUCGUACGAGUUGAAUAUUUCAUGCC